UACGGAGGGUGCGAGCGUUGUCCGGAAUCACUGGGCGUAAAGGGCGCGUAGGCUGCGGGGCAAGUCGGGUGUGAAAUCUCAGAGCUCAACUCUGAAACUGCACUCGAUACUGCUUUGCUUGAGGACUGGAGAGGAGAUUGGAAUUCACGGUGUAGCAGUGAAAUGCGUAGAUAUCGUGAGGAAGACCAGUGGCGAAGGCGGAUCUCUGGACAGUUCCUGACGCUGAGGCGCGAAGGCCAGGGGAGCAAGCGGG
rnacentral:rRNA from 1 species